CUACACACGCUCCCCUCAUCCAGCCCUCCACAAGUUGCAGGGAUAAUCACUCCUGCAGAAGUCCUGCGGCCAACUGUGGAAUAAUCGAGAAAUAAUAAAGGGGGGGCGGUGUCAGGGGCAGCUGCAGGAAUAUAUGCUCUUUCCCUGGAGUCCUGCUUGGCAGCUACCUCCUCCUCCUGCCUGAGAGUCAGCUGGCUUCAGAGUGGGCCAGGAGGGUGACCUAGAGGUCCAAAGUCUGAAAUGAUUGGAGUAUACCACAUUCCAUGGUGAAGACUAUUUGGGUCCCCGAGCCCGAGGGGCAGUUUUGGAGAAAUCGAUGACUUGGCAGACUGGGCCAGCAGAAAGGCAAUAGGGGAAGGAGCACUGGAAUGGGAGUCAGGUGUCUUGAGUUAGUUCUGGCUUUGGCAGGGUGAUCUAGAGCAGAGCUUCCCCUCUCCUCCCCACUGCUGCUGUUGGAACAUCAGAUUGGAUGAUUCACGGGUGAAGUACUUAGAACGGCGUCUAGAAUGUACAGGCAUUGUGGGCAAAUGGAACAAUCAUAGAACAAGAGGGGCACAAAACCGCAGGACUCAUGAGCUCUGAUGCAGUGUGGGGAUGCCCUGUAGAAACUUCACAUGGAUGUUGCGAGGGUAAAAAAGGAGGAAAUGCAUCUUUGAUACAUAAGGUAGUGAUACAGAGGCUCAGAGAUUCAAGAAAACUGCUCAGUUUUACAUCAGAAACCAGGAUGAAGACACGAGAGAAAGGUCAUAAGGGGAAAAAUGCCUUCAGAAUGAACAUGGACAUCUUCAUGGGAAAAAAAAGAAAACCUUAAAAGGAAAAAAAAAUCACUGAAUUGAUAUCAUAAAACCCAUUGGAAGUGAUCAGAACAGCCAAGGAGAAUCAUGAUUCUAAAUGUUUGAUGUGGCCAAGCAACUGACCUUGAGAUCAAUGUCGUAUUUUCAAAAAUCCUCCAUGGAUGAAAUAUUUCAGAAACAUGUUCAUCAGAGUCAUAAACACAGAGACAGACUUCUCAACGUAGCGGUGGUGUUGGUGGUUUUAAAUCCUCUGAGAAGAGUUAACAUCUAAAAGCCUAAUAGCUGCAGUUGGUGAAUCAGUCGGAUCACUCCAGUCAGGUC